rnacentral:rRNA from 1 species
GAUGAACGCUAGCGGCAGGCCUAAUACAUGCAAGUCGAACGGUGUAGCAAUACACAGUGGCGCACGGGUGCGUAACACGUAUGCAACCUACCUAUUAUUGGGGGAUAGCCUUUGGAAACGGAGAUUAAUACCGCAUAAGACAGUGACAUGGCAUCAUGUAGCUGUUAAAGCUUCGGCGAUAAUAGAUGGGCAUGCGUCCAGUUAGUUAGUUGGUUAGGUAAUGGCGCACCAAGACGAUGAUUGGUAGGGGAUCUGAGAGGAUAAUCCCCCCCACUGGCACUGAGAUACGGGCCAGACGCCUAUGGGAGGCAGCAGUAGGGAAUAUUGGGCAAUGGGCGGAAUCCUGACCCAGCCAUGCCGCGUGCAGGAUGACGGCGUUAUGCGUUGUAAACUGCUUUUUUAUAGGAAGAAGAAGCCCUUGCGAGGGAAAGUGACGGUACUAUAAGAAUAAGCACCGGCUAACUCCGUGCCAGCCGCCGCAGUAAAAC